CAACAUUUUAUGCUUUGCAAUUAGAAAACAGCAAUAACAUGGGUUUUGAUCAAACUUGCAUUCUUUAUUGAGAACACACAUUUUUCUGUACUAGGAUAAAGAGAUUUUAAAUAUAAAUAUGUGUUCUGGUUUGUAAUUUUACAAUAUUACCAUAUUAGGAAGUGGACUUAAAGAUUUAAAGACCCACUCUGAGCAAAAUCACCAAAAAUGUGUGAUUUUAUGUGAUUUUAUCAUGAUCUUGUAGCAUUUAUUUCAUAAUAGAAAUAAAAUUAAGCUUUAACUUGCAUUUCUGAAUAUUUCUUUAUUGGAAAAAGCUUGUUUUGCUAGCUCUGUGCUUCGCUCAAUUCUGAAGCAUCCACUUGUAGACCAAUAGAUCCAUGUACAUCUUUGUUUUCCUCGCCCAAGUGGGCUCAAGACUGUAUGGCUGGAUAUCUCCGAUACUGGCUGGUGUUUUUGUUGCACUGGUAAUGUUAGAUUGGAGUUGUGAGGGUCCGUAAACUAGUUGGAGAGCAUGCAACCAAAGGGAUGAUGGGAAAUGAGGUGUGUGGCAAUAGUCCCGCCCACUAAUCAGAGGCAAAUUUCUAAUGAACUCCUCCCGUUCUGGAGAAAGUUUUGCAAAAGAAUUUUGCAAAAUAAAUAAAUAAAUAAAUAAAAUAGAAUGGUCGUAAGAUGCUUGCAUUGAUUAGGUUUUCACUUCAUGUUUUCUGUGACGGCAUAUUCACUGUUUAAGAAAAAAAAAAAAAAAAGCAUGGUGGCCAAAUUGAUUUUAAAAUCCGGAGCAUUAGACAAUCCCACACUUUAUAGUUUUUUAGCAAUAAGGGAUAAGGAUUGGAACUCAGACAUCAGCUAUCUGUCACAAAAUGGAGUAGAAAAUGUUUUAUAAUGACCUGAAAAAGUCUAUUUUCCUAUAUAUAUAUUUAUGAUAUAAUAUGAAUGAGUGUGUCUACAGUGUAUGAAGUUGCUGUUGCCAUGGCAAUGUCAAAAUCUAGAAGACUUUACUUGUUAGAUGACCAUGGAAUAACAGUCGAUCCUGCUGCUUCUUAUUUGCAUCUGCUUUAUAUUUCUGUUUCACACCAAUCAAGACACGGAACAUAUUUAAAGAGCAAUCAGGGAUGUGCCAGGGUGCUUUUCUCUGCCUGAUGAGCCUGCCAAGACACCUUAAGAAAUGGAAGCAGAAAAGCGAUGGAUGAGACAACCGGCUUUAAUUAGCAGCCAAAACGGAGAAGUUCUCCGGAUAAAAACAGACUGAUUUAAAUGGGGUGAAGUUUAUGAAGUAUACAUGCAUUUCAUUGAAAUGUCAUUAGGCUAAUUUGUUUUUUACUAUGCUUAAUACCAGCUUCAUAACAAAGUUUUGACAGAAUUUGUACUCUGCAAUUUGUCUUUGAUCUGCUCACAUGAGAAGACUUAAAGAUCAAAAGUAUCUUGAUCUAAGUUGUUAAACUUUAUCAUAAGAGUCUGGAGUUUUGUGGGGCUGCAGGCUAUUCCAGCCAAAACACUAAAUGGAUUCACUUUCGAUUCAGUUAUGUUUUGAUUUAGUUCAUUUUGAUUCAAUUAAGGUUUAUAAAAAAGAAAAAAAAA